rnacentral:rRNA from 1 species
UACGAAGGGUGCAAGCGUUACUCGGAAUUACUGGGCGUAAAGCGUGCGUAGGUGGUUUGUUAAGUCUGAUGUGAAAGCCCUGGGCUCAACCUGGGAAUUGCAUUGGAUACUGGCAGGCUAGAGUGCGGUAGAGGGUAGUGGAAUUCCCGGUGUAGCAGUGAAAUGCGUAGAGAUCGGGAGGAACACCAGUGGCGAAGGCGGCUUGCCAGAACGCGCUCGACGGUGAGGGAUGAAAGCUGGGGGAGCAAACCGG